UACAGAGGUCCCAAGCGUUGUUCGGAUUCACUGGGCGUAAAGGGUGCGUAGGUGGCGCUGUAAGUCGGGUGUGAAAUUUCGGAGCUUAACUCCGAACUGCAUUCGAUACUGCGGUGCUUGAGGACUGGAGAGGAGACUGGAAUUCAUGGUGUAGCAGUGAAAUGCGUAGAGAUCAUGAGGAAGACCAGUGGCGAAGGCGGGUCUCUGGACAGUUCCUGACGCUGAGGCACGAAGGUCAGGGAGCAAACGGG
rnacentral:rRNA from 1 species